rnacentral:pre_miRNA from 1 species
UUGAAGAAUUUGAAGACUUCUACUUUCAUACUUGAAUAAUUUUAAGACUUCAACUUGGAGACUUAAAGAAUUGCAGGACUCCAACU